AUUGAACGCUGGCGGCAGGCCUAACACAUGCAAGUCGAGCGAGCGGCGGACGGGUGAGUAAUGUCUGGGAAACUGCCUGAUGGAGGGGGAUAACUACUGGAAACGGUAGCUAAUACCGCAUACCAUCAGAUGAACCCAUAUGGGAUUAGCUUGUAGGUGAGGUAACGGCUCACCUAGGCGACGAUCCCUAGCUGGUCUGAGAGUAUGACCAGCCACACUGGGACUGAGACACGGUCCAGACUCCUACGGGAGGCAGCAGUGGGGAAUAUUGCACAAUGGGCGCAAGCCUGAUGCAGCCAUGCCGCGUGUAUGAAGAAGGCCUUCGGGUUGUAAAGUACUUUCAGCGGGGAGGCGUUACUCACAGAAGAAGCACCGGCUAACUCCGUGCCAGCAGCCGCGGUAAUAC
rnacentral:rRNA from 1 species